rnacentral:lncRNA from 1 species
ACCUUGCACGUAACAGAGGAAAACUAGAAUAACGUGACGGAGGAGCAUCUCCCAUAAGAUCUUCGCCUAAAAAGGUAACCAAUCGAACCCUUAAAUUGAGAAUUCAAUUAAAACGAGCAAAAUCCUAUUUCAACAGAAUGAACGACAACAAGAUGAAAGCUUGCAGAAACAGAAGGAGAUAACGACAAAACUUACACAACAAUUGUACAAUCGACGCAACGAGCAAUGAAAGAAUUCCCGGUUAACACAGUAAUGAUUAUAAAAGUGAGUCAAAAGAUAAAGAAGGAAAAGGAAAAAAAAGAAAAAUAAUAAGGAAACAGGAGAGGAACGAUGGAAUUAAUUCAAAAUAAAUUAAGUUAACCACCAAC